rnacentral:rRNA from 1 species
GAUGAACGCUGGCGGCGUGCCUAAUACAUGCAAGUCGAGCGAACAGACGAGGAGCUUGCUCCUCUGACGUUAGCGGCGGACGGGUGAGUAACACGUGGAUAACCUACCUAUAAGACUGGGAUAACUUCGGGAAACCGGAGCUAAUACCGGAUAAUAUAUUGAACCGCAUGGUUCAAUAGUGAAAGACGGUUUUGCUGUCACUUAUAGAUGGAUCCGCGCCGCAUUAGCUAGUUGGUAAGGUAACGGCUUACCAAGGCAACGAUGCGUAGCCGACCUGAGAGGGGGAGUCGGCACACAUGGAGCUAGAAGACGGACCAGACGCCAAGGGGAGGCAGAAAGAGGGAAACUUCCACAAAGGGGGAAAGCCUGCGGGAGAAACGCCAGGUGGUUGAUAAGGGUCUUCGGCGCGAAAAACCCGGUUUAUGGGGAAGAAGAAAAGUUAAAUUAACCAAGGACGCCUUAAGGGACCCUAAGCAGAAGCCCACGGGAAACUAGGU